GAUGAGCGCUGGCGGCGUGCUUAACACAUGCAAGUCGAACGGGAAACCUUUUAUUGAAGCUUCGGCAGAUUUCGCUGGUUUCUAGUGGCGGACGGGUGAGUAACGCGUGGGUAACCUGCCUUAUACAGGGGGAUAACAACCAGAAAUGGUUGCUAAUACCGCAUAAGCGCACAGGACCGCAUGGUCCGGUGUGAAAAACUCCGGUGGUAUAAGAUGGACCCGCGUUGGAUUAGCGAGUUGGCAGGGUAACGGCCUACCAAGGCGACGAUCCAUAGCCGGCCUGAGAGGGUGAACGGACACAUUGGGACUGAGACACGGCCCAGACUCCUACGGGAGGCAGCAGUGGGGAAUAUUGCACGAUGGGGGAAACCCUGAUGCAGCGACGCCGCGUGAAGGAAGAAGUAUCUCGGUAUGUAAACUUCUAUCAGCAGGGAGGAUAGUGACGGUACCUGACUAAGAAGCCCCGGCUAACUACGUG
rnacentral:rRNA from 1 species